rnacentral:rRNA from 1 species
CCUACGGGAGGCAGCAGUGAGGAAUAUUGGUCAAUGGGCGGGAGCCUGAACCAGCCAAGUCGCGUGAAGGAAGAAGGCGCCAGGCGUCGUAAACUUCUUUUGUCGGGGAACAAAGGGCGCCACGCGUGGCGUUGUGAGUGUACCCGAAGAAAAAGCAUCGGCUAACUCCGUGCCAGCAGCCGCGGUAAUACGGAGGAUGCGAGCGUUAAUCGGAAUUACUGGGCGUAAAGCGCUCGUAGGCGGGAUGUCAAGUCAAGGGUGAAAUCCCCGCGCUCAACGUGGGAACUGCCUUUGAAACUGGCGAACUGGAGUGUGUGAGAAGAUAGUGGAAUGCGAGGUGUAGGGGUGAAAUCCGUAGAUAUCUGGAAGAACAUCAGUGGCGAAGGCGACUAUCUGGCGCAUAACUGACGCUGAGGAGCGAAAGCGUGGGUAGCAAACAGGAUUAGAUACCCCUGUAGUC